rnacentral:rRNA from 1 species
AUUGAACGCUAGCGGGAUGCUUUACACAUGCAAGUCGACCGAGUGGCGGACGGGUGAGUAAUAUAUCGGAAUGUGCCCAGUAGCGGGGGAUAACUACUCGAAAGGGUGGCUAAUCCCGCAUACUCUUGGAGCGGCCGCUACCGGAUUAGCUAGUUGGUGGGGUAAAGGCUCACCAAGGCAACGCUCCGUAGCUGGUUUGAGAGGACGACCAGGCACACGGGGACUGAGACAGGGCCCAGACUCCUACGGGAGGCAGGAGGGGGGAAUGGUGGACAAUAGGGGCAACGCGGAUCCAGCCAUCCCGCGUGUAUGAGAAGGCCUUCGGGUUGUAAAGUACUUUUGGCAGAGAAGCGGUAUCUGCAGAAUAAGCACCGGCUAACUACGUGCCAGCAGCCGCGGUAAUAC